GAGAGGGCACAAGAUGAAAUUCACAGUAUCUUAUAAUCUAAUCUCAGAAGUGGCAUCUCAUUUCUUUUGUUCUAUUCUAUUCAAUAGAAACAAGUACCUGGGACCAGCUUACACUAUAGGAAAGAGAUUAUAUAAGGGUAUAAAUACCAAGAGGUAGAGAUCAUCAAGAGCCAUUCUGGUAGCAGCCACAAUAUCUUAUCCAGAAUAUUUCUUAUUCAGGCCUUCAAAUGUGCUGUCUUUUCUGGUCUAAUGGAAAUGAACCUUCCUUCCAUACAAUUUCUUCUCCUAAAUUGUACUCUGGCUCUCUUAUCAUAUACAAACUUCUAUGUUAGGUAUUUGUGUCUGUCUUGAUUCUUGGUAGGCUUUUAAACUCUGUGAAUGUUGGACUGUGAUGUAGACAUCAUUUCACCGCACACUCUGUAACCACCAAACCUUAGCAGCUUAUUCAGUAAGCACAUACUUGGCUCUUAAUGAGUAUUGCUUAAAUUGAUGAAUUGAAUUAGUAUUUUACCUUCUCUGUUGCUUAGCUAAGCAGAAGAAUUUGUCAUUUUUUUAAUUUAGUGACUGGUUCUAUUAAAAGUUACCUUUGUCUAUAUCAUUUUGUUAUACUAAAGCACAAAUGUAUAAGGUCAAAAAACAUUCUCAAGAUUUUGUUUAAACCACAGCCCUCAGUUGUGUAUAUUUAUCUCUUGUUUUCAUAUGCAAGAUUUCUCCUGAAAUGGGCAACAAUUACAAGAGUUUUUUUCCUCUUCUGAACUAAGAAAAUAAAUAUUUAAUUCACAAGUUUAGAAAAGUGAACCUGAAAAAUCACAGGGCUAGGUGGGUUAUGAGGCCCACUGGUACAUGAUAGUGUUGAAUGUGGAUUAGAAUGAACUCCGUGGAUUAGAAUCUCAGACCAUAGGCAAACAUUUACUUGUUUUAGAAUAAGCACAUUUGAGUCUGCAAUAAGUAUUACUGUUUUUAAGUUGAAAAUGUAAUUGGUUUCUAAUAAUAACCAUAUUGGCUAGCAUUAUUUCAAUCGUGUUUAAUGUUUUCCAAUGUCAUUUCAUGUCAGAUAUCUCUCUUGAUUCUUAGUAACAAUUUGGACAAGACAGCAAAUGCUAUUGUCCAAGUUUUCUAAAGAAGAAUCUGAAGUGAAAUGACAUCAAGAGACCUAUCAAGACCUGUAUCCAGGAAAAGGUUUAUAUGUGGAAGAGACUUGCCCUGUCUCAGGAAUUAGAGAAAGAACAAAUCAGUGUGAAGGAGAAUUGUCAGUAAAAUUACAAGAAAAGAUUGAGAUCAUAAUUGACCUUUGAGGAUAAUAAAAUUUAAAGACCAAAAGGAUGGACUUCACAGAAACAUGACCUUAGGUUGUUUUUGCAGUUGUAGUAACUGGUUAUAUGACCAACAAAAUAUGAAGAAUGGGUACAAAUUCUGAUAGUAAUGAUCAGUCACUUUGCAAAUAUAAAGUUACUAUUUACUACUGUA
rnacentral:lncRNA from 1 species